rnacentral:lncRNA from 1 species
GAAAAGCUUGAAAACUCAAGAGGUGAUAGAGAUUCUAGGAGCUAAAUUGAAGCUUUAGCUAGGAUUAUUUGCUAAUUGAGACGAAGUGCAGGAUUAGUUGCUUUGGUGAGUUGCUCGGUGAUUGCUUGGAUAGCGGGAGCUAUCUCCGUUAUCGGUUCCGUAGAGUCAUAGGAUAAGCUCUGAACUAGGAUGUUAUCUUUUGAUUUAUUAUAGAUUGUCUAUCCUGAAUUUAUUUAUGUUUUGGAGAAUUUUAUGAUGAUUAUUCGAUCUCAUGUCAUGUAUACUUUUGAGGUGUAUGGUUUAUAUCCGCUGCAACUGUUGAGAAUUUUUAUACAUGCAUGUUGUUUUGGAUUUUGUUGA